GCGCGGGGGGCGCGAGCGGCGGGAGCAACGGGCCCGCAGCAGCAGCGGCGGCGGCGCUGCCGAUGGACAUGGGCACCCAGGGCGCGGGCCGCAAGCGGCUCCCCAACCGGGAGCGGCUGACUGCGGAGGACGAGGCACUGAACCAGAUCGCGCGCGAGGCGGAGGCCCGGCUGGCAGCGAAGCGUGCGGCCCGCGCGGAGGCGCGAGAGAUCAGGAUGAAGGAGCUGGAGCGGCAGCAGAAGGAGAUCUAUCAGGUCCAGAAGAAAUAUUACGGGCUGUACACGAAAUGGGGUGACAUCGAGCAGUGGAUGGAAGACAGUGAGCGCUGCUCACGCAGAUCCAGAAGGAACACCUCGGCUUCUGAUGAAGAUGAGCGCGUGUCAGUGGGUAGUCGCGGAAGCCUGAGGUCGCAGCCUGACCUGGAGUCUGGGGGUCCCUACAGCUGGACAAAUGGUUAUGAUGGAGAGUUAUACGGAUCACAGCCCCUGAGCAGAAGAUCUGGCAGGAACUCCACCUACAGCGGUGACGGCAGAUCCUCUACUGUGUCCUCAUCCAGAGAGGAGAAGUUGGGGCCGUCCUGCUCUGACCUCGGCCUUCCCCGCGGUGGCCUUGCGCCCCAGGUCCUGUUCGCCCAGAGUGGAAGCCGGCCCUCCUGUCUGUACAGCGCUGCCCGGCCAGCGGGGAGUUCCCGGGCGUCUGUGUUCGGGGACGGCAGUCUCGGUGGGCCUCGGCGAGGAAGCGCCUCUGGUUCCUAUGCUCCCUCGGAGCACAGCGGCCACCUCAACUCCAGCUCCCGCGCCUCUUCCAGAGCCAGCUCGGCGCGGGCCAGCCCAGUGGUUGAAGAGAGACCAGAAAAAGAUUUCACUGAGAAGGGGUCUCGUAACCUGCCCGGCCUGUCUGCAGCCACACUGGCCUCGCUGGGUGGCACCUCCUCCCGGAGGGGGAGCGGGGACACCUCCAUCUCCAUCGACACCGAGGCGUCCAUUAGGGAGAUCAAGGAGCUCAGUGAGUUAAAGGACCAGAUUCAGGAUGUGGAAGGCAAAUAUAUGCAGGGACUGAAACAGAUGAAGGACUCUCUAGCAGAAGUGGAAGAAAAGUAUAAGAAGGCGAUGGUUUCCAAUGCCCAGCUGGACAAUGAGAAGAUGAACUACAUGUACCAGGUCGAUACCCUGAAGGACACGCUUCUGGAGCUGGAGGAACAGCUGGCGGAGUCUAGGCGGCAGUAUGAGGAGAAAAGCAAAGAAUUCGAGCGGGAGAAGCACACCCACAGCCUGCUGCAGUUUCAGUUCGCCCAAGUGAAAGCCGCCCUGCAGCAGAGAGAGGAGAUGCUCGAGGAAAUCCGACAGCUGCAGCAGAAACAGGCGAGUUAUAUCAGGGAGAUUUCUGAUCUUCAGGAGACGAUAGAGUGGAAAGACAAAAAGAUAGGGGCCUUAGAGAGGCAGAAAGAGUUCUUUGAUUCCAUCAGGAGUGAACGAGAUGAUCUUAGAGAAGAAGUAGUCGUGCUGAAAGAGGAACUAAAGAAACAUGGAAUAAUCCUAAAUUCAGAAACAGCUACCAAUGGAGAGACUUCAGACACCCUAAAUAGUGUUGGAUACCCAGGUCCUACCAAGAUGACAAAAGAAGAGUUGAAUGCCCUCAAGGCGACAGGGGACGGGACCCUAGACGGGCUGAAGUUGCGUCAUCUGGGGAGGACUGCGGAGAUCUUCCCCACGCAGCCUCGCCUGGGAGCUGUGGCUCUGAGGAGAAAGAGCUCCAUUCCAUGGGCCAGGACUUAGCGCGCUUUGAAGAGUGUGGUGAGAACGGCAGGUAAACGCUGACUUUCUACAUAAGGGUCUUGAGUGGAGGGUGAUGGGGCUGCCAGAAGCCCACGGGUGCCUAUGAACAGAAAAGCCUGAGGCUUGCUGGAGAAUCAAGUCCAAGAGCGGCAGAGGAGUUGAGAGGGCUUCAGCCGAUGUCUCUAACUUCGGCAAAGCUGCUUUCACACCGGAGUGCACACUGGGAAACAGCCUUCCUUCCCAAGGCCUCUGGGGCCGAACUCACUAAGUGUGAGAUUGUUAAGCCACCUUACGUUCUUUCCUCCCUUACCCAGGUUAUUCCGCAGCACACCUGCGGACACUAUGGUCAACACAUCCCUCCAGCCAGCCAGCAGCCUCCCUUAGUCACAUGUUUCAUAAGCAAACAUUGUUCAUCACUUCACAUAGGAAAGGUCCUGUGCAGUGACCAAGCAGAUAGGACCCAGCUCCCAGUGGCAGCUGAGAAUUAGGACAGAAGCACCAAAGAAGAGAAGGACUCUGAAGAGCCCGACCUUUUCCUGGUCAUCUGAGUCUUCAUUGUGAGCAUCAUUCCUCUGCUCCAAGUAUGAGAUGACGGUGUAGCCCAGCACAGUAACUGAUGCUCACAGUGGAGGCCCUUACAUGAUCCAGGAAGGGUUACCUUAGGUCUGUGAGGUUUAGCAAGGCACGGGGUAUUCCCAGCAACCUGGAAACAUUUCAGUGUCGAAAGAUUCAGACUCGGAAAAUCAUCCAAGCACAUCCUGCCAAGCACAUCCCCAGGGGAACCUAGACCACAGAGGUUCCACCAUAAGACAGAGCAGAGGAGCACAUUGAUCACAAUAGCUCACAUCGAAAAGCUGGGAUAUUUCUCGUCCCCGAAGCAGAAUGCAGCUACUGUAUGUAGAAUGUGACUCUUCCUUCAGAAGUAUAAUUAAGUAUCACUAUGGGUGCAUGUAAAGAAAAGAUUUGAAUUAUAGGUUGCAAUUUUAUAGUAUAUGAAGGUUGGGACGUAGUAAAGGUUGUGAGAGGUUUUAGGAAUGAGAUGGAUUGCACUGACUGCUUUCUAUAAAGUUAGUAUUUCCAGUUAAUGACCUGAUCAUAUACAUUCCCACUGUCACAGGACCUGGAAUGCUCUUUCUCGGGGGUUAGUUUGGGAUUUCUGUUUUCUGUCAGUAGACUCCUGCCCCAAGAGAGCACCUUAUCUAGCAUGCCACCGUGAACACCACAGUAAGAUGUACUGCAAGCAUCCAGACUCCAGAAGGAAAAAAGGGGUGUGUGUAUGUGUGUGUGUGUGUGUGUGUGUGUGUGUGUGUGUGUUCAUGUGUGCUUGUUCAGUGUGAUGAUCAUACAUAGGGAAAACUUUGUCUUUCAGGAGAAAAACUCUCUCCCUUUCACCCUAUCCACUGUCCUUCUUACAUAAAAGACUUAACAUUUUUCCAGAUGUGAAUGGCUUCCCCUGUUCAAUGGAACGGAAGCCAGUGGGGCUAGUGUGGACAGUUCCCAUCUGUGCGGACCUCCUGGGCCCUGUAAACAGGAGAAAAAAGAAUCGUCCUUAGCAGCCUGUUUGCCUUUGACAGUAAGGAGGAGGUAUUGUCCUGGCCUGGGGGCCUGGCCCAGGGAGGACGAAACAGACCCUGUGAAACUGACCUGUGGGGAGGGAGUGGCACGUAGUGGUUUCUUGAGAGACCUCAGUCACAGCGCCAGGAAGAGGGACUACUUGGUGAUGUGGCUGUGACUCGUUGUGGACCUUGCUGUACCCCUGGCGAGUGAGGUGACAAUGUGAGGCCACAGGAACAAGUGACCAGAAGGCCUCGGAGAAUCCAAGGCUCGUCCGGCUGCCCAGGGACUGGCUCUAGGCCUUAAUUAGCUUUUUUGUUUCUCAAAUGCACACCAGAAAAGGUGUUGGAAUUUAGUAUAAAAAGCAGAUUUUUUAAAAGUGUAAUCCUUACCAGUAUUACUAAAAUACCUUUAAUGGCCACCCAUUUUAACCUCCCACUAUGAAAGAAAGCCCUACAUUUGAGUCUUUGUGAUUUCAAGUUCUUUAUGCCUUGUUUCUGAAAACUGCAAGUCCAAAGUCUAUAAAUGGAUUUGUUUGAAAAUCGGGUGUUAGAGAACAAUGAUGAGCAGUGCUACUAGGGUAGUAAUAGGUUUGCAAUGUUCUUGUUAAGAAUUACAAUAAGUACACCAGUGAUGCAACACCAUUCACUCAACAAUUUAGACUGUUGGUUUUUAAAGCUAUUUUUAAAAGUACUCAUUUACUUCAUAUUAAAUAAUUUUGCUUUUUUUCUUGUUUGCAUUAUCUUAAAACUAUUUCGUUUCCAUCUUAAUUCUGCUUUAAAAUUUCUCUUUCUUAAAAAUUCCACAUCUAUUUUUCAUAUUCUCAUUAUGAGACUUAAGGUUAGAGGAUCCUUAUUUUUUCCCCUAAGACUAUUAUUACAAUUUAUCAUUUGUUUUUUACUUGCUAUCUAAGGUAUUUGAAGUCUCCCAAUAGAAAAAUCAUAAAAUUGUAUGAUAUAUGAGCUUCAAGUCCACUUUCUGAUAUAUUCAGAGUUUCUUAUGAUGCCCAGGAUUUUGUACAUAGGAAUACAAAAUAGAUAAGAUAAAAUGAAAAGUGGUAUUGAAUAAGAGAUCUGGGUUUAUAACUAUAAAAUUUUUUUCAGUGUUGGGUGGGUUUAUAGAAGGAAAGAAUGGAUCCUCCCUCAGAAGCAGUUUGACUGUGGGUAAAUCAAAACGGAGUUCAAAAGGAUCAUGAAAUUAUCUUGUGCUCCACAUUUUCUGGAUUUGUUUAUUUUGUUACUGUGCCUUCCAAAAUAACAACUUGGGGUGUUUGGGAAAACAAUUGGAGUGAGCAUGUAACUUGGGUUAGAGUGUGGCUACAUGACUUUUUAAAAGAAGACAAAGGUGCAUUUUAUGUGAAUUGUUUCCAUUUCACGUGGCUGAUCAAAAGCAGGCAAUGUGAGAACGCUGGUCCCUCGGGCACAGGACCCUCUGGCCGGGAGUCCAGGCCCAGCUCUGAGGUCUGAGUUCAGGUUUAGAAAAGCAGUGCAGUGACGCAGUUAGGGGCGAGGCCCUGAGGCUGGGCAGUGAGGCCCCGGAAAGUUGCUUAGUUGUUCUGGGCCUUGGGUCUUAGGACGGAAUAACAGAGCCACCCGCAGGGCUCCAUGGGAGAGAGAGGCUGGUGGCCGUGCCUGGCGCAGAGUGGGCGCAGGACACACGAGCAUCGCUCUCAUCACGUCACACCCGGUUCUCCUUGUGUAGGAUUUGGCCCAAACACCCACACUCCUUGCAGGCUGUGGUUCCCCCCUGCACUGAACACUGCAUUCAGGGAGAUGUUUAGGGAGAUUUCUGGGUGCUUAUAUAUAUAUGCAGCCUGAUAUAUCUGAGGUGGGAGGAAGGACAGAACCUAAUUAUUCCUGCAUUCUUCCUCAAAAGAAUAAAAGUGUUUGACAAGUGGGUUGGCACAUAUGUAGUCAGGAAACUAUGAUUCGUAGUCACAGUCAGAACUCCAGCCUGGGUGAGCCUAUGAGAGAAAUACCUCUGGGGGUACACUCAGGAGGUGCGGGCUGAUGAAAAUGCCGGCGAUGUGUCGUGGCGAUGCCGUGUGUUUGUACCUUGCUAAUGAUGUUAAACCAUGAAGCCUGUGAGAUCUUGUGUUGCAGUGUGGUUUGGCCCUAGAGCCCUUGCAUGCUAACCCCAAGUAGAAGAUUAGCCCGUUUGCAUGCGGUCGGACGCUGACGAGACAAGCAUGUGCUGGGAGGUUGACCACCUCAACCCCCCGAGGCUGAACUCCUCCCCCGUCCUGUGUGUGGCCUCAUUCGCGUGACAUUAGGUUGAAAAAGCUUGUUGACGAACGGGAGUGCUUGCUGGAACAGAUUAAGAAACUCAAAGGGCAGCUGGCAGAAAGACAGAAGAAU